rnacentral:rRNA from 1 species
AUGUACUCGCACAGCCCAACCGGCGAGUACCGGCUAUUGCUGUACAAGUUCCCCACUGGACCGGCGCCUGACGCUCAAGGUGGCUCCUACGUGUUGGUAUUAGGCUCCGGCCAGCCGCCACGGUGCAUAGGGUACCCUGAUGCUAGGGAACUGGUGUUCAGCCCAUCCGUCCUGUUCCGCGGUGGCCUGCAUUGGCACAAGGAGCAGAAUGAGAGGAUGGUGGUAUUCGACACCACCACUGAGUUGUUCCGGCACCCGGUUGUUUUUGUUUCUCGCUGCACUAACCUGUUUGAGAUGGAUGGAAUGCUCUGCGUGUCCAGCUUUAAUUAUGCAGCGGCAACCAUCGAUAUCUGGAUGGCGCAGGACUACAAGAGCGAGGUCUGGUCCAACAAGUACCACGUUGAGUUGCCGGUUGCAGAGCUCACCACGCGCUUUGGAGGGUUUAACACACAUGGGUUUUGGGUAGUCGCUUCUUCGGAUGGUCAUUUGCUCAUGCUGCUCAAAUUUAGCGACUGGCUACUUCAGGUUGAUAUGGAUGGCAAGUUGGUCGCUAGUUUCCAUUGCAAAGGCCUUGCUUAUACUAGAUUUUGGCUCAAACAAACUUUAGUUUCGCAUACCUUCUUUCCGGCACUAGAGCGUUAUGUUGUGAAUGCUAAGCCUUUCAUCUGA